GCUUACCUAGUUCAAAGGAAGAACAGGGUACUUCUAAUACCCAAAUCCAGGAUCGAAACCUGGGGUGAGUA
rfam:Mucor ambiguus DNA, scaffold: scf_mam1_v10929, strain NBRC 6742.